GACGAACGCUGGCGGCGUGCUUAACACAUGCAAGUCGAGCGGAAAGGCCCUUUCGGGGGUACUCGAGCGGCGAACGGGUGAGUAACACGUGAGUAACCUGCCCUUGGCUUUGGGAUAACCCUCGGAAACGGGGGCUAAUACCGGAUAUUCACUGCUCCUCGCAUGGGGGGUGGUGGAAAGAUUUUUCGGCUGGGGAUGGGCUCGCGGCCUAUCAGCUUGUUGGUGGGGUGAUGGCCUACCAAGGCGACGACGGGUAGCCGGCCUGAGAGGGCGACCGGCCACACUGGGACUGAGACACGGCCCAGACUCCUACGGGAGGCAGCAGUGGGGAAUAUUGCACAAUGGGCGAAAGCCUGAUGCAGCGACGCCGCGUGAGGGAUGACGGCCUUCGGGUUGUAAACCUCUUUCAGCAGGGACGAAGCGAAAGUGACGGUACCUGCAGAAGAAGCGCCGGCCAACUACGUGCCAGCAGCCGCGGUAAGACGUAGGGCGCGAGCGUUGUCCGGAUUUAUUGGGCGUAAAGAGCUCGUAGGCGGCUUGUUGCGUCGGCUGUGAAAACCCAUGGCUCAACCGUGGGCUUGCAGCCGAUACGGGCAGGCUAGAGUUCGGUAGGGGAGACUGGAAUUCCUGGUGUAGCGGUGAAAUGCGCAGAUAUCAGGAGGAACACCGGUGGCGAAGGCGGGUCUCUGGGCCGAUACUGACGCUGAGGAGCGAAAGCGUGGGGAGCGAACAGGAUUAGAUACCCUGGUAGUCCACGCCGUAAACGGUGGGUGCUAGGUGUGGGG
rnacentral:rRNA from 1 species